rfam:Sigmodon fulviventer prion protein (PrP) gene, partial cds.
UCAGGGUGGCGGCACCUGGGGGCAGCCCCAUGGUGGUGGCUGG